AACAAGACUUUCUCACUGCAAUAUAACAGCAGUUUAUUUAUUCACAAUAUCAGUACUAAUGAAUUAGGAGUGUAUCAUUGUAUUCAACCUGUUUCACAAUCUGAUAUCAACACACCUCCCAACAUCAGCAGUGGAAUCAGACUUUACAUCCAGAGUCACUCAGCUGAGAAUCAGACAUCUGAAGAUGAAAAGCAGUCGAAUCAGUCAGCAGAUAAAUGAAAAGGUGUCACACUCUGGCGAAGUCUCUUCAUCAUAUUUAUAAUAAUCUGCAUUGUUACCUUCGCAGGUUUUAUAGUUUGCUGCUGCAAUAGAACUCCAAAAGCCCAAGCACAACCUCCAGACCCGUGUUUACAGCAGCAUCAGGGCAACACCAGCACUGUGGUAGGAUAUCUCUCUCUCUCUCUCUCUC